rnacentral:rRNA from 1 species
GACGGGACCAGCUGGCUGCUCCCAUGAGGUGACUUCUGCCCAGUGCUCUGAUUGUCAAUGCAAAGAGAUUUAGCCAAGCGCGGGUAAACGGCGGGAGUAACUAUGACUCUCUUAAGGUAGCCAAAUGCCUCGUCAACCAAUUAUUGACGCGCAUGAAUGGAUCAACGAGAUUCCUGCUGUCCCUAGGUGCUGUCCGGUGAACCAACAGCCAAGGGAACGGGCUUGGAUGUGUCAGCGGGGAAAGAAGACCCUGUUGAGUUUGACUCUAGUUUGAUGCUGUGCAGCGACAUGUGGGGUGUAGCAUAGGUGGGAGGUGAGUGCCAAGGCCUCUUGACCACGUUUGAUGAAGUGCUUAGACAGGUGCAAGCCAGCAGUGAAAUACCACUACCUUCACCGUCGCUUUACUCACCGUGUGGCUUGGGAUCGACUGCCCCGGCAUUCAUGCAGAGACGGGUUCACCUGGCUCAACGGGCAACACCGCUUCGUGACUCUAGUGCUGCCACCUUGUGUGGCCGGCACAACCCUGCGGGGAGCUCAACACUCCGCCCGCUAUCGGUGCCUCGGGACAAUGAUCAGCUGGGGAGUUUGGCUGGGGCGGCACGCCUGUUACAGGACAACGCAGGCGUCCUGAAGCAUUACUCAGAUGGAAGAGAAAUCUUACGUGGAGGACCAGGCCAAAGGUGCUGCUGAUGCUGUGACUUUCAGUACAAGUCCAAAACGUGCAAGUGUGGCCUUGCGAUCCUUUGGUCAAGUGCUCGAGUUUGGGAUAUUGAAGCCAGAGGUGUCAGAAAAAUUACCACAGGGAUAACUGGCUUGUGGCUGCCAAGCGUUCACAGCGACGUCGCUUUUUGAUCCUUCGAUGUCGGCUCUUCCUAGCUUCCCACCCGCAGCCGAGUGGAAGAGUUGGAUUGUUCACCCACCAACAGGGAACGUGA